rnacentral:rRNA from 1 species
AACGUAGGACGCAAGCGUUAUCCGGAGUUACUGGGCGUAAAGCGCGGGCAGGCGGUCGAUUAAGUCUGAUGUGAAAUCUCCCGGCUCAACCGGGAGCAGCCAUUGGAAACUAGCCGACUGGAGUCUGACAGAGGUAGGCGGAAUUCCGGGUGGAGUGGUGAAAUGCGUAGAGAUCCGGAGGAACACCAGAGGCGAAGGCGGCCUACUGGGUCAGUACUGACGCUGAGCCGCGAAAGCCAGGGGAGCGAACGGGAUUAGAAACCCCGGUAGUCCUGGCCGUAAACGAUGUGUGCUGGGUGGUGGGGGGUUUCCCUUCACUGCCGAAGCUAACGCGAUAAGCACACCGCCUGGGGAGUACGGUCGCAAGGCUAAA